rnacentral:rRNA from 1 species
GGCCAUACCACCCUGAGCACGCCAGAUCCUGUCUGAUCUCAGAAGUCAAUUUGGGUCCAGCCUGGUUAGUGCUUGGAUGAGAAAGGAGAAUCUAUACAAGUCUGGGAUGGAAAGGUUAAUUCAGGUGCU